rnacentral:rRNA from 1 species
GCGUUGUCCGGAUUUAUUGGGCGUAAAGCGUGUGUAGGUGGAUCGUUAAGUACCUUGUGAAAUCCCACGGCUUAACCGUGGAACUGCUUGGUAUACCGGCGGUCUUGAGCCACUUAGGGGCUACCGGAACAAAUGGUGGAGCGGUGAAAUGCGUAGAGAUCCGGAGGAACACCGACGGCGAAGGCAGCGCCCUGGCCGCCAUCUGACGCUCAGGCACGAAAGCUGGGGGAGCGAACAGG